rnacentral:rRNA from 1 species
CCUACGGGAGGCAGCAGUCGGGAAUAUUGCGCAAUGGAGGAAACUCUGACGCAGUGACGCCGCGUAUAGGAAGAAGGUCUUCGGAUUGUAAACUAUUGUCGUUAGGGAAGAAAAAGGACAGUACCUAAGGAGGAAGCUCCGGCUAACUACGUGCCAGCAGCCGCGGUAAUACGUAGGGAGCAAGCGUUAUCCGGAUUUAUUGGGUGUAAAGGGCGCGUAGGCGGGAUAGCAAGUCAGAUGUGAAAUCCUAUGGCUUAACCAUAGAACUGCAUUUGAAACUGUUAUUCUAGAGUAUGGGAGAGGUAGGUGGAAUUCUUGGUGUAGGGGUAAAAUCCGUAGAGAUCAAGAGGAAUACUCAUUGCGAAGGCGACCUGCUAGAACAUAACUGACGCUGAUGCGCGAAAGCGUGGGGAGCAAACAGGAUUAGAUACCCUUGUAGUC